rnacentral:rRNA from 1 species
AAAGCGAGACUGCGAAGUGGAGCAAAAUCUCGAAAAAAACAAUCUCAGUUCAGAUUGCAGGCUGCAACUCGCCUGCAUGAAGUCGGAAUUGCUAGUAAUCGUAGGUCAGCAUACUACGGUGAAUACGUUCCCGGGCCUUGUACACACCGCCCGUCAAACCAUGAGAGUUGGCAACACCCGAAGUCGGUAGUCUAACCGCAAGGAGGACGCCGCCGAAGGUGGGGUUGAUGAUUAGGGUUAAGUCGUAACAAGGUACC